GAGUUUGAUCCUGGCUCAGAAUCAACGCUGGCGGCGUGCCUAACACAUGCAAGUCGAACGCGAAAACCCCGCAAGGGGUUAGUAGAGUGGCGAACGGGUGAGUAACACGUGGGUGACCUACCUUCGAAUGGGGGAUAACGUCCCGAAAGGGACGCUAAUACCGCAUAACAUCCUGCUUUUGAACAGGUGGAGAUCAAAGCCGGGGAUCGCAAGACCUGGCGUUUGAAGAGGGGCCCGCGUCUGAUUAGCUAGUUGGUGAGGUAACGGCUCACCAAGGCAACGAUCAGUAUCCGGCCUGAGAGGGCGGACGGACACACUGGGACUGAGACACGGCCC
rnacentral:rRNA from 1 species